UGACGAGCUGGCGGACGGGUGAGUAAUGCUUGGGAACUUGCCUUUGCGAGGGGGAUAACAGUUGGAAACGACUGCUAAUACCGCAUAAUGUCUUCGGACCAAACGGGGCUUCGGCUCCGGCGCAAAGAGAGGCCCAAGUGAGAUUAGCUAGUUGGUAAGGUAACGGCUUACCAAGGCGACGAUCUCUAGCUGUUCUGAGAGGAAGAUCAGCCACACUGGGACUGAGACACGGCCCAGACUCCUACGGGAGGCAGCAGUGGGGAAUAUUGCACAAUGGGGGAAACCCUGAUGCAGCCAUGCCGCGUGUGUGAAGAAGGCCUUCGGGUUGUAAAGCACUUUCAGUUGUGAGGAAAAGUUAGUAGUUAAUACCUGCUAGCCGUGACGUUAACAACAGAAGAAGCACCGGCUAACUCCGUGCCAGCAGCCGCGGUAAUACGGAGGGUGCGAGCGUUAAUCGGAAUUACUGGGCGUAAAGCGCACGCAGGCGGUUUGUUAAGCUAGAUGUGAAAGCCCCGGGCUCAACCUGGGAUGGUCAUUUAGAACUGGCAGACUAGAGUCUUGGAGAGGGGAGUGGAAUUCCAGGUGUAGCGGUGAAAUGCGUANAUAUCUGGAGGAACAUCAGUGGCGAAGGCGACUCCCUGGCCAAAGACUGACGCUCAUGUGCGAAAGUGUGGGUAGCG
rnacentral:rRNA from 1 species